UAAUAUAUUACAACAUACUAUAAAAAUUAUACAAUAUAUGUACAAACGGUGCAUAUUUUACACUAUUUAUUCAUAUAUUUACACCAUUUGUGUAAAUAUUGCACGAUUUUGAAAGGAUGUUGCACCAUUUAGAUGUGUGUUGCACUCUUUCUUUUUGAAAAUUAAAUUUUAUUGCAUAUUAAAUAAAAUGUAAAACUUCUUGAAAAUGACAAAUGCUAAGCCAUAAUUACAUGCAUGUAUCUUUCUCGUGAAACGAGAAACCUCAUUCAAGAGAAAAUAAAAAAAAUAAAGAUUAAUUAAUAAGAUGAAAGAGUGCAAUAUCCUCUCAAAUAGUGCAACAAUCUCUUCAAAAUAGUGCAAUAUCUGUAUAAGUAGUGCAACAUAUGCAUUGUUAAUACACAUUUUGCAUGAUUUUUACACUAAAUUACGCACAGUUUAGUAUAUUACACGAAAAUAAUAUAAUAUAUUACAACAUACUAUAAAAAUUAUACAAUAUAUGUACAAACGGUGCAUAUUUUACACUAUUUAUUCAUAUAUUUACACCAUUUGUGUAAAUAUUGCACGAUUUUGAAAGGAUGUUGCACCAUUUAGAUGUGUGUUGCACUCUUUCUUUUUGAAAAUUAAAUUUUAUUGCAUAUUAAAUAAAAUGUAAAACUUCUUGAAAAUGACAAAUGCUAAGCCAUAAUUACAUGCAUGUAUCUUUCUCGUGAAACGAGAAACCUCAUUCAAGAGAAAAUAAAAAAAAUAAAGAUUAAUUAAUAAGAUGAAAGAGUGCAAUAUCCUCUCAAAUAGUGCAACAAUCUCUUCAAAAUAGUGCAAUAUCUGUAUAAGUAGUGCAACAUAUGCAUUGUUAAUACACAUUUUGCAUAAUUUUUACACUAAAUUACGCACAGUUUAGUAUAUUACACGAAAAUAAUAUAAUAUAUUACACGAAAAUAAUAUAAUAUAUUACAACAUACUAUAAAAAUUAUACAAUAUAUGUACAAAUUGUGCAUAUUUUACACUAUUUAUUCAUAUAUUUACACCAUUUGUGUAAAUGUUGCACUAUUAUAAGAGGAUGUUGCACCAUUUAGGUGUGUUGCACUCUUUCUUUUUGAAAAUGAAAUUUCAUUACAUAUUAAAUGAAGUGUAAAACUUCUUGAAAAUGACAACUGCUAAACCAUAAUUACAUGCAUGUACCUUUCUCGUGAAACGAGAAGACUCAUUCAAGAGAAAAUAAAAAGAAUAAAGAAUAAUUAAUAAGAUGAAAGAGUGCAACAUCCUCUCAGAUAGUGUAACAAGCUCUUCAAAAUAGUGCAAUAUCUGUAUAAGUAGUGCAACAUAUGAAUUGUUAAUACACAUUUUGUAUGAUUUUUACACUAAAUUAAUUACAUACAGUUUAUUAUAUUAUAUGUUGCAUAUUAUUUUCGCGUAAUAUAUUAAACUGUAUGUAAUUUAGUGUAAAAAUUAUGUAAAAUGUGUAUUAACAAUGCGUAUGUUGCACUACUUAUACAGAUAUUGCACUAUUUUGAAGAGCUUGUUGCACUAUUUUAGAGGAUGUUGCACUCUUUCAUCUUACUAAUUAUUCUUUAUUUUUUUAUUUUCUUUUGAAUGAGGUUUCUCGUUUCACGAGAAAGGUAUAUGUAAUUAUGGCUUAGCAGUUGUCAUUUUCAAGAAGUUUGACACUUUAUUUAAUAUGUAAUGAAAUUUAAUUUUCAAAAAGAAAGAGUGCAACACACAUCUAAAUGGUGCAACAUUCUCUUAUAAUAGUACAACAUUUACACAAAUGGUGAAAAUAUAUGUAUAAAUAGUGUAAAAUAUGUACCGUUUGUACAUAUAUUGUAUAAUUUUUAUAAUAUAUUGUAAUAUAUUAUAUUAUUUUCGCAUAAUAUACUAAACUGUACGUAACUUAGUGUAAAAAUCAUGCAAAAUGUGUAUUAACAAUGCAUAUGUUGCACUAAUUAUACAGAUAUUGCACUAUUUUGAAGAGAUUGUUGCACUAUUUGNUCUCUCAAAUAGUGCAACAAUCUCUUCAAAAUAGUGCAAUAUCUGUAUAAGUAGUGCAACAUAUGCAUUGAUAAUAAAUAUUUUGUAUGAUUUUUACACUAAAUUACGCACAGUUUAGUAUAUUAUACGAAAAUAAUAUAUUAUAUUACAACAUACUAUAAAAAUUAUACAAUAUAUGUACAAACGGUGCAUAUUUUAUACUAUUUGUGUAGAUAUUUAUACCAUUUGUGUAAAUAUUGCACUAUUAUGAGAGAAUGUUGCACCAUUUAGAUGUGUGUUGCACUCUUUCUUUUUGAAAAUUAAAUUUCAUUGAAUAUUAAAUAAAGUAUAAAACUUCUUGGAAAUAACAACUGCUAAGUCAUAAUUAUAUGUAUGUACCUUUCUUGUAAAACGAGAAACCUCAUUCAAGAGAAAAUAAAAAAUAUAAAGAAUAAUUAAUAAGAUGAAAGAGUGCAAUAUUCUCUCAAAUAGUGCAACAAUUUUUUCAAAAUGGUGCAAUAUCUGUAUAAGUAGUGCAACAUAUGUAUUGUUAAUAUAUAUUUUGCAUGAUUUUUUUUUUUUGAGAGAUAAGUAGCACGCUACCCGCUUCGUUUACUUCAUUUAGAAAUAAACUUAGCUGGAAAUGUGAAUCAACUAGGAUUCGAACUUAGGCCUCGGGUACCAACCAUCAAGCUCUUUGCCACUUGCUUUAGAAAUAAACUGUAUGGCUUAGCAGUUGUAUUUUUUUAGGCAUUUAAAGUAUAUAAUUUUUAUGAAUUUUGAAAGAGGGGUAGUUUGGUCAUCCUUCUGAAAAUUCGGCCCGAAUCUGCAAAAACUAAAAAGAUGGUCCACGUUUGCAUAAGCGCCAAAUUAGUGAAUUUUUUAUGCAAAUUGGCCUAUAUAUAUUUAUGUUUAACUAUCUGAGUUUUGGUUCGGUUCGAUUAAUUUAGAAGUGCAAACUAAAUCCAAACGGGAAAUCAAAAUUUCACAAAAAUCACAAUGGAACUGAAGCAAAAACCAAUUUAACUAAACUAAAUAAACUUAUUUGAUUUGGUUCGAUAUGGAUCCAAAUUGUGAAUGAACACCCUUAUUUAUAUUUAACAGUUAAUUUUAUGCAGGUUCCUGCAAAUAUAGUGAAUAACAAAUAUAUUUCUGUAAAUUUCAACUUUUAUAUUUUGUCCCUACAAAAAUUCUAAAAUAUUAAAUACUAAUCAGGAUUAAGUAUUUAACCUACGGUUAACUAUAUUUUUCUAACGGAUUCUAACGGCAGAAAUAUAUUUGAAAAUGUCAGGACUUUUGAAGGAAUAACAUAUGAAAGUUAAACUUUAUAAAAAUAUAUUUGUUAUAGUAAAUUAUAUUUAUAAGGACCUGUAUAAAAUUAACCCUAUAUUUAAUAGUGUUU
rnacentral:lncRNA from 1 species